rnacentral:SRP_RNA from 11 species
ACCGGGCUUGGUUACGCUUGCCUAUAACCCAAGUGUGGGUAUCAAAGUGUGUUGGACAUUUGCUCGGUCCAGUUUGGUUUGGUCUGGCUUGCAAAAUCUGGCUUGCCCGUUCCAAGUUUAGAGUUGGUUCAUGUGCCUUGAGCGAAGGCUUUGGUUACUUGUACCUUAGACUAAGGGGAAUUGCGUUAGGCUAUAACAAGCUUGCUGGCUCAUCAGGCUCAAUUUGGUCUGACUCUAAUGAACACCCACUUUU